CAGUCAUUUCAGCUAGUCUAUGAAUCAAUAUCCUUUUGAGAUGAGAAGAGAAUUUAUCCCUGUCUCAAAAAUCAACCAAACAAGCAAAGAAACAGCCAGAUAGCUCCCCCAGGAUUUCAAUAGAAAAUAGAUUUCUACUAGAAAAUAGUAGAAACAGGGCUUUUUCUCAAGUCUACCACUUAAGCCUUUUCCUUAGCCUCUACUUCCCAGUAGAAACUUCUAAAAUCAUUAGAAAUGGGGAUGGUAAAAUAUGAGUGACUAGGAAGUAAACAGAGUACCCUGGGAAUCCAUAAGAAGCAAGAAGACAGGCAGAGGUAAUCUACUGUGACAAGCUAUGGGUUUGCUUUGCUCCAUGGCUUUCAGCACAUACUCACAAAAUACAUACCUGUUAUUGAGUUUUUAUUAUUCUGUUCCCACUAGGAGUCUAAAUGUCCUGAAGCUACAUUACUUAGCAACCUGACAGAUGUCAACAUUGUUUGUUUCCUUGAGAUAAUUUAAGACCCAGUGGACUCUAAUUGUGAGCAUGGCAGAAGCAGAUAGUUGAUACAAAUGAAUGCAGUUGAACAACACUGUGGUGCCUCUACAUAGCAAUAUAAUAUUGUGUCCCUCAGAGCUUAAGAGGCUAGAUCUUGCGUGAAGUUUCUUACCAUGCACAAACUACAAAACCAUCUAAAAACACAGGGGUAUGAGGCUAUGUCUACUGACUUGAUUUUAUUGAUGGUAUUGAGAAGGUUAUGUAUGUUCAUACUCAUAUAAUUAUGUUAAAUGUACACAGUAUUUUACACGUCAAUAAAACCUAGAUAAACUUGCUUAAGAAGUGAAAGACUACAACUAGUUUCCAUGUACCAAAUGGUGAUUUUCUGGAAAAUCAUCUCAGCCUCACUGGAACCUUUGGCACAGGGUAUGCCUCUGCAGAAGACAGCACUGGCAGGACCCCUUAUUGGUGACACCAAGCUUCUCAUCUCUCUGCAUGGAGUUUAGAUUUUUGCAAAAGCUUACAUGACUGUGAAUGAGACAGCAUGGCUUUCAGAAAUGUCCCUCUGUAUUAUAGUCCCCAAGUGGAAGGGUUUCUCUGAGUGGGAGAAUUGUUUGGUACUGCCACAUACUAACAGUUUUUUCUCAAUCAUCUUUAAUCUUUUGGUAAGGGUUAUUCAUAAUUGUGCAACACUGAACAAUAAACAGGUUCUGACAGAUUUCUGGUAGCAACAAACAAAAAUCCAAAAGUAGUGAAACUAGUUCUUAAGAAGGUAUGCUUACCUUUCUUGAUUUGUGAAUCGAAGACCUUGGGUGCCAUUCCUGUGGCUCUAAGUUUUCCAGAUUUAUAAAUUUACUGCUGUUUAGGAAGUUUAAGUGUAAUUAGAGACUUGGCCAUCCAAACUAUACAGCUCACUUAGUAAAUUAAAUAGGACUUUCAGGCUCAGCGAAUAUUUUCUAUCACAUCCUGGAGAAAGAGAAACUCAUAUCUCAAUUAAGAUAAGACCCUCUCCCAUUACAUGGAUAUGCUACUGAAAAACUCUGAGAGUGAGCAGAAAUGGAUUCAUUCCAAUGAUGUCUCCAACAUCUACUGCUGCAUCUGCCAUCAAGCUGAAUGCUGUCAAUGCAACAAAGACCUAGUUCUACCACAGAGACCUCAUGAAUUGGCAGAACAUGGCAGUACACAGAUGGCUACUGACAUGCAGACAAAUACAUGUUAAAGGGAGAGACCUUCAAAUGAUGAUACAAGAAUUUCCUCAGAGAGGUUUCCCAAACAAGAACUAAGUAAAACUAAAGGAGUGAGAACAUAAAAACAAUGGGGAGAUUUUUAUUUUAGAAGAGCUUCCUGCUUGCAGGAAAAAGUGCAAGGUUCCAUACAUGGGAAUUCUAACAUUUCCCUGUUACCAUGCUUUCUCACUUGUGAUAGAACUUGUGUUUCAGCCCAGAGUGGUAGCCAUGCUCUCUCCCUGAUGGCUGUACUCUAGGACUACAGCUUCCAGGAGAACACAGCUAUCUCAGAGCUUCCCCUCCAGCUACAGAGCAUGGGAAUGGCACAGCCUGGAAGUCUGACUUUAACUAUUCAACAUUGCCACUAGAUGGAAAUUCCGCUCUUAAAGUAGAUUGAAUUAGAAAGUCUGAGUAUGGAACAGAAGACCUGGCAUUGAGCCAAGACUAAGCAAUGGAGUUCAAGUAAAGAAGACAUAUUCUGAAGGAAGACAGCCACACCUCACUCUGCAGCAUGGUAUAAGUUUGCUAGGUAAGAACAGCAAGGUAGGAACAGGGUUCUGCGUAGAGAACGGAGCUUGUUUUAUACGUGGAGCCAGGUGUGUGGGUGGUCAGUACAUUCGCCAUGCACUCUGGAGAGAAGGGUACUGGGAGGAUAAAAGCCAACAGGACUGAAAGGCUGGGGAAGCUGUGCAAGGCUGGUGGUGGGUUUGUUAAGCACAGAAGUAAUAUGAGUUUUAGUGCUCUCAUCUAGAAUGAGCCUAACACCAAUCAAGCCGGAGGUAGUGAGACACGUGAUCAGUGGAGUGAUGAUCCUUGUAGAAUUUGACAGUUAGGGUCAGAGAUCUUUCAUAUGCAAAUAUGACCAGUUCCUUACACACACAGCUCAACCAGAUGUUUAAUAUUUAAUCACUACAUUCAAAUGCAAGGGGCAUUACUUCAAAGCUUCAAAGCAUAAGUACUUUUCUCCUUAGGAACUAUAAUUCAUUCAUUGUCCCAAAAGUUAAAGGUGUCAAGAUGGCUAUCAUUAUCCAUACAUGACGAUCACUUCAGUUAAACUUACUUCCACUGUAAAAUCUACCAGUCAAGUUACAAAGUUGUAUUGUGUAUACCUAAGCCACACACAAGACCUAAACAAAAAACGUUCUCUGGAUUUCAUUUGUUUAGUUCACUUUUUCUGUCUAUAAAUUUUGAAAUUGUGAAGCAUGAUUUUGAAAAUACAAAGUAUUAUUUUAAAAGUGAUCAUCCUAAAGCUAGUCAGAUAUCAAUUACAAUCUGCAUGGACCAUGGCAUUGAACCUAAUGAUCCUCCCCUCAGGAUGCAGGAGCAAUACAUUUGCAGAAAUGAAUUAGACACCAAGGGGCAUCAAACCGCCAGAUGGAUAAUUUGAUUCAUAUUAACUGACUAUUUCUGGUGUUUCAAAAAAUAACUGUCCUACCCAGAGGAGGACAAAGUUCUUUUUGUGAUUAACCUAUCGCUAUUCUACUGAAAUUACAGCAGGUGGAGAAAGAAGAUAUGCUAUCCGAAUCAAUGCACUAUCAUCUCCUGACUUAUGCUUGUUCAAUUUAUCAGUAAUGUGUGUCAGUUAAUAAAUAGCAUGCACCUAACUUUAUAGAUUAGAUAAUAAUAAGUUGAACACUUUGUAGAAAGCUCCCAAUCAGAUGAGAGCAUAUUGUGAGACCUGGAGGGUAAUGCCUGAUAGGUUCUGGCUCUUUCUUAGAAGCCAGAAAUUCCUAAUUGUAUCUGUGACCUCAAGCCUCUUGUACUAUCUUGUCAUGUGGAAUCCUGUGAUGCCCAUGCAGAUCUCACGCUAUUUUAAAGCAUUCAAACCUUGUAAAUUUGACUUUCUACUUGCCUCCCAUCUGAAUGCCCUUAUGAGGGGUCUCUUUCUUCAGUCCCAUGCCUUAAGGAAUGUACUUUGAUCAACUGUGUGGCCUUGUGGCAUGGCCUGCAAGAGAAUGUACAUCUGGCUCUCUGACUGAAAAAGCAUACUUAACACCACAAACCUCUUCACGAAAGUGCAUUUGCACAGGAAUGCUCUCAGCAAUAGUGACACUUGGCAAACAGAUGGCUCCUCCUCUGGUAAGGUUUUGGGAAGGAUUUGAUCAGGAACACCAGUGGCACCAGCAGGAGACUUGUCUCCUCUAUCAACAGUUAUCAGAGCUUAAUGAUGUCCCAUCCGCUUUCGACCAGCAAGAAUGACACGACCACCAGUUCUUCUAACAGCAGUUUAUUCAGCAAGCUUCAGUCUUCAUCU